GCCCUUGAAGCCCUCCGCGCCCUCGCCCUCGCCCUCAAAGAGUUGGAGCAAAAGAAAGCCACACGCAAAGAAAGGAGAAUAUACUAGGAAUUCAAUGUAGCGGUUGUCUUCAGUUGGGUGGCUACAUCGAAUAGGCUUGAAGUUUUAUUUGGUGUGAUUAAAUCACAUGGAAGACUAUGUUAUUGAUUUGUAACUCAUAUCUUGUAAUUUUAUAUUUCGUAAUAAUGUAAUAUGUAGUAGAUUACAUGCAUUUUAGUUUUUUAUUUUUAUAUAUUUUAUUAUUCUGCACAA